rnacentral:rRNA from 1 species
AUUGAACGCUGGCGGCAUGCCUUACACAUGCAAGUCGAACGGCAGCACGGGUGCUUGCACCUGGUGGCGAGUGGCGAACGGGUGAGUAAUACAUCGGAACAUGUCCUGUAGUGGGGGAUAGCCCGGCGAAAGCCGGAUUAAUACCGCAUACGAUCUACGUAUGAAAGCGGGGGACCUUCGGGCCUCGCGCUAUAGGGUUGGCCGAUGGCUGGUUAGCUAGUUGGUGGGGUAAAGGCCGACCAAGGCGACGAUCAGUAGCUGGUCUGAGAGGACGACCGGCCACACUGGGACUGAGACAGGGCCCAGACUCCUACGGGAGGCAGCAGUGGGGAAUUUUGGACAAUGGGCGAAAGCCUGAUCCAGCAAUGCCGCGUGUGUGAAGAAGGCCUUCGGGUUGUAAAGCACUUUUGUCCGGAAAGAAAUCCUUGGCCCUAAUACGGUCGGGGGAUGACGGUACCGGAAGAAUAAGCACCGGCUAACUACGUG